GAUGAACGCUGGCGGCGUGCCUAAUACAUGCAAGUCGAGCGAACAGAUAAGGAGCUUGCUCCUUUGACGUUAGCGGCGGACGGGUGAGUAACACGUGGGUAACCUACCUAUAAGACUGGGAUAACUUCGGGAAACCGGAGCUAAUACCGGAUAAUAUUUCGAACCGCAUGGUUCGAUAGUGAAAGAUGGUUUUGCUAUCACUUAUAGAUGGACCCGCGCCGUAUUAGCUAGUUGGUAAGGUAACGGCUUACCAAGGCGACGAUACGUAGCCGACCUGAGAGGGUGAUCGGCCACACUGGAACUGAGACACGGUCCAGACUCCGACGGGAGGCAGCAGUAGGGAAUCUUCCGCAAUGGGCGAAAGCCUGACGGAGCAACGCCGCGUGAGUGAUGAAGGUCUUCGGAUCGUAAAACUCUGUUAUUAGGGAAGAACAUACGUGUAAGUAACUGUGCACGUCUUGACGGUACCUAAUCAGAAAGCCACGGCUAACUACGUG
rnacentral:rRNA from 1 species